rnacentral:rRNA from 1 species
UGGGGAAUAUUGCACAAUGGAGGGAACUCUGAUGCAGCGACGCCGCGUGAGUGAUGAAGGAAUUCGUUUCGUAAAACUCUGUUCUAUGGGAAGAAAAGGACUGUACCAUAGGAGAAAGCUCCGGCUAAAUACGUGCCAGCAGCCGCGGUAAUACGUAUGGAGCGAGCGUUGUCCGGAAUUAUUGGGCGUAAAGGGUGCGCAGGCGGCUUUACAAGUUGGAUGUGAAAUAUUGUGGCUCAACCACAAACGUGCAUCCAAAACUGCAAAGCUUGAGUGAAGGAGAGGUAAGUGGAAUUCCUGGUGUAGCGGUGGAAUGCGUAGAUAUCAGGAGGAAUACCGGUGGCGAAGGCGACUUACUGGACUUAAACUGACGCUCAGGCACGAAAGCGUGGGGAGCAAACAGG